AGACCAUGGCUCGGGCAUUUCCUUAUCAAGUCUGUGAAUCUCUUCCAAGCUUCUGCAAAGGACUCAUCAUACUUUUGUUGGAAAGAAGUGAUCUCUUCUCUCAAUUU